rnacentral:rRNA from 1 species
CCUGUAAAAGAAGGACAGUUAUUGGGUCCGACUUCUUUUAGGCUUACAGGUGAAAUCAGAGUCGUGGAAAUACAGGGAACACAGCUUUGUAAUUUUGAAUGGUGCCUAAUGUAUCUUCUUCAGAUCUGUUUAUAUUGGAACGGCUCUCAGCCAGGUGGUAUCAAGUCAGGAGUUUCUCUCUUAUUUUGGCCACAGAUCGAUCGUAACACCAGACUGUUGUGGUUCGUUGUCAUAGCCUUUUCUAUACCCUGGAGCACAAAACUUAGGGGGCAUGAUUGGAAUUACAAAACGCAAUAAAGAUGGCGUCCAUAAAGAAACUAAUAGUUAUUAUGUAGUUAUUACUUAUUAUCUUACCAAACACGUUGCAUUGUUUUUUGUUUUUUUUCAAUAUACCCAUGUUGCAAGUGUAUUUGAAUUCAUGUUUGCAAGUGCCCUGUCCUGCUUACAGGAGUCAUUGACUAAAUUCAAUAGAUCACCCUUUAUACAUAUAUUUUUUACGUGAGGUUUAAUCAAAAAAAGACAAAAGAAAUUUGGAACACAGUGUAUGUUUACACAUAACUUAAGAACAACUCUUCACAAUAUGUGCAAAAAAAGAUUUUUUUUUAAAUUAUACUCCCAUCUACAAGCUUACAAAGCCCUUCAAAAUUAAUUAAUAAAAAUAUUAAAUGAGGACCAUUUGUGAAUAACUGUGUUAUCAAUUCUUUUGUUAAAAGCAUAUCUCAUUUCUUUUGGAGUAAUUGUUCAUACUUUACCAGUAUUUUAUUUAAUCUACAUUAACUAUUGUGAACAUUACUUGAUCAAAUAAAUCUUAGGUACUGUUAGCUGUAUAUUUGAUAUUAGUAGAAUAUGGUCGUGAAGAUAAGUGUACUUUUUGUGUCCAUAUACUUUUAGUAUUCGGGUGAUUUAUAGUCCAGAUUUAUUAUAUAACCAUGGAAAGUGGUUAAGGGUCCCAAAAUUUGAAACUCUUUCAUAAAACAACUUGUGAAUUGAGUAAAAAUCACUAAAUUGCUUUAACUAAAACUACAUUAAUAUUUGCUCCAGAAGGAUGGUGCUUGCUGUAGGUUUUUUGCAAUUUUAUUUCUCGCAUUAUUUAUGAUUAAUUUUAAUCAUUUGUUCUUUUCCAUCCCCAAAGACUGAAAUAUUAUUAUAAUAGAUUGUAUACAUUAAAUUUUUCCUUUGUCUUCUAUAUAAAAACUUGCCACAAGACUUUCAUCAUUAUCAUGUUUUAUGCCAUCUAAUUGUUGUUACUAUAAUCAAGUAAUAUGAACAAGAAGACUAUUUAUUUUUAAGCUCGUAAGCAAUAAAUCUUUUUACAAAGAAUUAGUGAGAUAUAGAACCAGCAGUCCUGUUUUAGCCAUAGUCUGGGAAGUUUGUAACGCUAUAAAUACUUUUUCCAUCAUGUUGGGAGACCCAAAUCUAAAUAACUCUCCACCUAGAAUCAUCCGUGGAGACUUUUAGAUGUAAAUCACACGUAAUAUUGUUCAUGGAUCUGAUGCUGUUGCAUCCACAGAAAAGAAGGUGUCAUUAUUUCGAAAAUACGACUUACAAAAUUUCGUAAUCUUAGAAGAGCCAACUUGAUUAUUGAAAAAGUUAAUCACUUUUUUUAUGAAAAUGUUGUAUUCUCUUUGGUUUUCAUAUAUUAAUCCUCUUACGUGAUGUGUUUAAUAACCAUAAUGAUAAAUAAACUUUUCAAUCAAAUUAUCUACACUCUGCCUAGCAAUCAGCAGCUAGGUUUUAUCUGUGAAGCCCUCCCUCUAAUAAUGCAUUGUUUUAUAGCAGUAGUUUUGUUAUCCCAGUUUAAAAACGUGGCUUGUUUCGUAUCAUUAUUAAGUCGAAUUUUCGCUUUUUAUAUAUUUAUUAAAUAUUGUCUGAGUUAAUUACUUUUUUGUUUGAUUGUAGUUACAUUGCUAAGAGACAAUAAUUGUUAAGAUAUGGGUGGAGGAUGCGAGCUAGAGAACAACAACCCCUGACGGGAUUUAUAAAAUUCUUACAAGCGUUUGUGUAUGAUAACUGCGCUUCAAAUCAAUGCUUAGAUUCCUACUCAUUUAAUACAGUAAAAUUUGGCACAGAAAUGUUUUAUACCUUACCCACCUUCCGUUCAACUGGUCUCGUUUCAUCAAUCUACUUCAUAUCAUUGCCUCGUUAUCUAAUUCGUGACGUGCAUGAAUGAAUUAACGAGAUUUGAUCGGCCCUUUUCUACUAUCGAGCGAAACUGCAGCCAUAGGAACGGACUAGGAAAGAUGAGCAGGGAAAAAAUAUCAUGUUGAGUUUUACUCUAGUCUCUUUUUUUGGCCGAGCAUCUUGGGCGUAGAAUAAGAAGAAGAUGUUAACAUCGCAAGUGAAAUACUUCUACUAAGAUUAAUACUCCCCUUACUCGGUUAAGCAGGAUUAUCGUGAUUUCAAGAUUUUUUCCUGCAUCGAUCAUCAAAUAUUUGUUCUUCAUUGAGACCUGCUUCGAGGACAUUGUGAGGCUGGGGUUUUACUGGGGCUGUACAUCUGUCAAAUGAUAACGCCUAUUUCCUAAUACCAGGUCAUUGAGGACGAAAACCUCAUGUAAAGCAAUAGGGCAAAUGGUGGCUUGACCUCUUCAUUCAGUACAGGGGUCGGGGGAGGUGGGAGCAGAGAUGCAUUCCUAUUGAUUUUCUUUAUUUAAGAGCUUUAAGAAAGAGAUGCCAGAAAAAUUACCACAGCGAUAACUGGCAUGUAGCGGCCAAGCGGUCAUAGUGACAUCUCUUUUUGAUCCUUUGAUCUCAUCUCUUCCUAUAAUUUCGAAACAGAAUUGGCAAUGCGUCAGAUUGUUCACCCUUUAAUAGGGAACGUGAGCUGGGUUCAGACCGUUGUGAGACAGGUUAGUUUUACCUUACUCACGACUCGUCGUUGCGAUAGUAAUCCUACUCAGUACCAGAGGAACAGCAGGUUCGGAUAUUUGGUAUUAGUACUUGACUGAUCAGUUAGUGUUGAGAAGCUAUCAUCUCUGAGAUUAUGUCUGAAUACGUCUUAGGCAUAAUCUCAUCAAGAUAUGUCAAUGAUAUCGUUAGUUCGAUCAUUUCAGUUGGAGGAAAAAUAUCAAGCUUGUUCUUGCUUCAAAAUCCCUCAUUAAUGGGAGGAUUGGUUUGUAGAAUUCAACACUUUAUUAUAUUAGCUUCACCUCGUCAAUGUAUUUUGUAAAGUGUCUUGGCCAAAUCGUCUGUAGACGACUUACUACGUAUUAACCUAUGAAAUGAGACUUUUUAAAAAACAUUCGAACGUGUAUUGUGAAGAAAUGGUUACAAAUUUAAUUUUCAAUGUA